AAACACCUUGCAUAGAGGGCAAGGCCCUGAGGCCAAUGCCAAGGCCUGGCUAUGCAUUCUUCCACCGGAGUAUAGUUACCAAAGUGAAGAGGUUUCACAAACCGAAACCCGAGGAGCUUCACAAUGUCUAAUUUGCAGCUCCGUAGUGAAACAAGAUUUUGAAUUUAUGCUUAAGAUUUUUUUGGAAUGAUUAAUGUGACAUUUGUUAUGAGUGUAAGUGUCUUGUCAAUAGGGUGUCUAUCACGUGUAAGAACGUUAGAUGUGCUAUAAGCUAGGAAAGUCAAAUUAAUGACUAGAAUUAGAUGUUUGAAUUAGGGAAAAGCCAUUCAAACAGGGAAUGGCUCCAGGGUUUGGAACAAGGAGCCCCCUAUUGAUUGGGCGUCCGACAUUAAGGAGAUGAGGCUACGUUUAUGUCCAUCCUAGGGCUGCCACUUCACCGACACUACUAUAAAUACUUUCGAUGUAACACUUGAAGACUAAUGUAACUUUGAAUACAAAAUACAACUUUAAAUGCAACUCUCAAUACUCUAAGUUACCAUUUUGCACUCUCUUGUUUAUAUCACUUUGCUUUGUUUGAAUAUAGUUGUUUAUGAUCAUUAAAUAUUAACAUACAUUGCUGGAAUCCGAACAUUAUUGUCUCGUGUCAGAGAGUUGUUACCACGACCCAUUUUGGAGUGUUCUUGACCGUUGAUUUGUCUAUGCGUGUUGGAACUAGCUCAUGUGUGCGUGAAUGAGUCCGAUAUCUUUUGUCCAUGUGGUCCUAACCCAAAACAAGGUCAACAUAUUAGUUUGGGCUAUAAAGGGACUUGGACCAAAGGUUUAUGCAUGGUUGUCUCACAAUGAUUAAUGAUGUCUCACAAUGAUUAAUGAGAAAAUUAUCUAAAAUCCUAUAAUUAAAGAUUAGUUUUCAUUAAUGAAAGGCUUAUGUUUAAACUUCAUAU
rnacentral:lncRNA from 1 species